UGUCUACGAGGCUGCCACGGAGGGUAUGGCCAUAGUAUUCAAGGGCCAUGGACCACGGAAGGGCCAUUAGAGGGAAGAUACUGUGUGCCAUGGUGCCAUUUUUGUGAUUUUCAAGGGUGGUUUAAGUGCCAAGUGUCUACGAGAGUGCCACAAAGGGUAUGGCCGUAGUAUUCAAGGGCCAUGGACCACCGAAGGGCCAUUAGAGGGAAGAUACUGUGUGCCAUGGUGCCAAGUGUACGAGGGUGCCACAGAGAGUUAGGUAGACGCCCCUGCCAUGGCCUUACUCAACUAGGGCCAUGGACCACCGGAGGGCCAUUGGAGGGGAGAAAUAAUGGUCCAUAGUGCCAUAUUUUGUGAUGUUCAAGGAGUAGCUGUGAAUGGCCUCAAUGAAGAAUGCGAGAAGUCUGAACAUGAGAUACAGGCGGAGGAGGAGGAGGAGGGCCUGAUACGACAAGAAUGUGGCUUCACCUACAGGGGAUGCAUUUGAGAUUAAGCUCUGAAGAACGAAGGGAGAACAGAAGAAAGGAAGGAAGGCCAUCUUGGAAGACUCAAGCACCAGUCACCCCAGUCCAAGGAAAGGUCACAAGAGGUCAAGGAGGUCACAGUAUGAAGGAGCAGUCCAGUCAAGUCAAGUUAUUGAAAAGGGAAGGGAAAGGAUAGGGAAGGGAAGGAAAGGGAAGGGAAGGGAAGGAACAGAGAAGUGUAUAAAUAGUUAAGCUUAAAGUCACAUACAGUUAGAUACAUACAGUUACACACAUAGAUUUACAUACAAUUUCGAUGGUGCGUUUGACUCAGUGGGUAGCGGAUUGGCCCGGCCCACGGUGUUAUGGACUCGCUCAACACAAGUACAGUAAACCCUCGAUAUAACGGACUAAUUUUCAUUUCUAUUUAUUCAUUUAUUUUUUUCACAUCAGAGGACACGUCUCAAGGGCAGUAAGGAGUACAAAAAAAAAGCCUGCUACUCGCCGCUCCUAUAAAAGAUAAAAGUAAAGAGUAGCCAAAAGAGAGGUCAAUUUCGGGUGGAGAGGUGUCUUGAUACACACUCAAUUUUGGGGGAACUUAGUCCGUUAGGGCCGAAAGUCUGUUAUAAGCGGCGAAGAUUUAAAAAAAACGUAAAAUAAUAAAACGACGAAGGAGUAAACGUAGGCAUAUAUAUUUUUUAUUGUGUAUGUUGUGUGCACGUUGUCUAUAGGGCCGCACAGCCCACUUGGCGAUGCACUCCGAGGCACUGAGGUUGCUAGGUUGUGAGUGGGGUCUUGCGUGGGGGUCAUAUUGUUACGGGUAUGGGUAGAAUUUUACAAGUGCAGUGAGUAGUGGACUUUUUUUAUUAUUGUUUACUUUUUUUGUGCCCUUGAGCUGUCUCCUCUGUUGUAAAAAAAAAAAAAAAAAAAAAUUGCACCAAUCUCACACUGGCAGACAAAACUUUUUUUUGUAGUUUCUGGUGUGUUAUGAAAUAAUGUGCUAACUGUUUCUGUCACAUAAUUAAAUGAUUGCCUUUCCAAUGCCUGGUGUACACAGCACCUGUAAAAUAACUUGCUGAGAGAAAUGUUCAGGUUGCUUAGUUUCUAUAUUUCACACCGGGUUCGAUUCCUGGGCGGAGUUGAAAAAUUUGGGCGGCUUUUCCGAUACCCUACGCCCCUGUCCACCCAGCAGUGAAUGGGUGCCAGGUAUUAAUCGAGGGUUGUGUACCGUCUCCUGGGAUCUGUUCCCUUCUCCUAUAAUUCCUUCCCCUUCUGUCUCUCUCCGGCAUAUGACCACAGAUGUUGCGCCCACUGAACAAAACCCUUUAUAUUUCACUCACAACCCACAAAGAUCACAAGUGGAUAAACUAGAACAAAACCAGGCUAAUUAAUGUUUUUCCUGCCAUGUAUUCCCCCAGUGCGCAUGCGUGAUGGACACCAGAGUGACUUAUUUCUGCGAGGAGGUAUUUCUCGGA